AUGGACAGGCUAAGAAUUUAUUUUCAGGUUCUGUCAGCACCAAGGCUAAGGAACAACUUCCCUUUUCACUCUUUCCCCGGAGUAGCUGUCCCCCACUGCGGUGCUGAAAUUCAGGGUACGGGUCGAACGGAGCUUGAGUCCUUCGCCGGGGUCCACGCCCUGCCGGCGGCACGUUGCUCCGCCCUCCAGCUGCCUUCCUGCGCAGCCUCCAGGAGCGCCUCACCGCCCCCCGCCUCCGGCGACCCCAGCAGGGGGUUGGGUGCUGGCCCCUCUGCCCGCCUCCGAGCCCGAGCAGGAGGUGUUACCCGAGAGGGGUUGAGCCACGCUGUCCUUUCCGGCGGUGGGCUCCGUCCAGGGUGCUGGACGGCUCUUCCCCAUCUCCCCCAGGCCCCAGCUCGCCGCCGCGCGUCGCUGCCGGGGGGCGGAGCAAGGUCCCUCUGAAACAGGGCAGAAGUCUCAUGGAUUGGAUUCAACCUCCCCAAAGUGGAAAGGAUCUAUGAGGACUAAACAGCAGGUUCAUUGAAGUAACUGAAGAAGAACUUAAAAAAUACACCAAAAAAGAUGACUGUUGGAUAUAUCUAACAGGUAGGCAGUGUUUAUUCUGUACUGCAGAAGGUUUUGGCUUUGGGCUUUCCAGUUAUAAUGCUUUAUAACCCCAUGGUCCUGUUAUUUGGUGGUAUAAUUCACAAUUAAAUAACAAAAGUGUACCCUACACCGGGCAGUACCUUCUGUAAUUCUGAAAUUUGGACCAUGCUUUCUUCCCUAAGUUGCUUUUUACACGGCACCCCUGUACUGUAGUCCCUUUGAAAGAAAACAAGUGUUGGCCAGGCAAUUUCAUAUGAAAGUAACAUAAUUAUGCAGUAACACCUAGUUUAUGUGGGCUAAUGUUCUACCUUUGUACUGCGUUACAGAAUCCUGCAGGAUAAAAUGUCUCUGAGAACCUACAGUAAAUCAGAAAGACUACAUUAAAGUCGCAUCUUUAGUUCUCACUUGAGCAGUUUUUAUUACUUGACCUGUGUUUGUUACCAAUAUUAGUUACUGGAUUUUUCUAGCCCACAGCAAAUUAGAAGCCCCAGAUUAGAGGUGGAAAGACUGGAGAGGGUGAGCAGGGAAAUAGGUCUAUAUUCGAUGAAAGGAGACCUCAUGGUGUCCUACAACCUGGCAUCUGAGAGGGAACAAAAGCAAUAAAAGGGAGUUCCCAUUGUGGCUCA
rnacentral:lncRNA from 1 species